rnacentral:rRNA from 1 species
AUUGAACGCUGGCGGCAGGCCUAACACAUGCAAGUCGAGCGGAGUGGCGGACGGGUGAUUAAUGACUAGGACUCUGCCGGGAAGAGGGGGAUAACGCCCGGAAAGGGGGGCUAAUACAGCAUACAAUCAAAUGAGCCAGUGUCGGAUUAGCUAGGUGGUGGGGUAAAGGCCUACCAAGGCGACGAUCCGUAACUGGUCUGAGAGGAUGAUCAGUCACACUGGAACUGAGACACGGUCCAGACUCCUACGGGAGGCAGCAGUGGGGAAUAUUGGACAAUGGGCGAAAGCCUGAUCCAGCCAUGCCGCGUGUGUGAAGAAGGUCUUCGGAUUGUAAAGCACUUUAAGUUGGGAGGCGUUACCAACAGAAUAAGCACCGGCUAACUUCGUGCCAGCAGCCGCGGUAAUUC